rfam:Tuber melanosporum whole genome shotgun sequence assembly, scaffold_2, strain Mel28
GUUAAGAUGGUGGAGUGGUUAACAAGUUCGCCUGCUAAACUCCGAAGGAGCUAAUCGGCGGAUGCCUUCGGGCGCGCAGGUUCGAAUCCUGUUCUUGACC